GGGUUGUUAGCUCAGUUGGUAGAGCAGUUGACUUUUAAUCACAGGUUCGAAUCCUGUACAACCCACCA
rnacentral:tRNA from 1 species